rnacentral:rRNA from 1 species
CUGGCGGCGUGCUAUACUGCAGUUGAGCGCUGAAGGUUGGUACUUGUACCGACUGGAUGAGCAGCGAACGGGUGAGUAACGCGUGGGGAAUCUGCCUUUGAGCGGGGGACAACAUUUGGAAACGAAUGCUAAUACCGCAUAAAAACUUUAAACACAAGUUUUAAGUUUGAAAGAUGCAAUUGCAUCACUCAAAGAUGAUCCCGCGUUGUAUUAGCUAGUUGGUGAGGUAAAGGCUCACCAAGGCGAUGAUACAUAGCCGACCUGAGAGGGUGAUCGGCCACAUUGGGACUGAGACACGGCCCAAACUCCUACGGGAGGCAGCAGUAGGGAAUCUUCGGCAAUGGACGAAAGUCUGACCGAGCAACGCCGCGUGAGUGAAGAAGGUUUUCGGAUCGUAAAACUCUGUUGGUAGAGAAGAACGUUGGUGAGAGUGGAAAGCUCAUCAAGUGACGGUAACUACCCAGAAAGGGACGGCUAACUACGUGCCAGCAGCCGCGGUAAUACGUAGGUCCCGAGCGUUGUCCGGAUUUAUUGGGCGUAAAGCGAGCGCAGGUGGUUUAUUAAGUCUGGUGUGAAAGGCAGUGGCUCAACCAUUGUAUGCAUUGGAAACUGGUAGACUUGAGUGCAGGAGAGGAGAGUGGAAUUCCAUGUGUAGCGGUGAAAUGCGUAGAUAUAUGGAGGAACACCGGUGGCGAAAGCGGCUCUCUGGGCCUGUAACUGACACUGAGGCUCGAAAGCGUGGG